ensembl:lncRNA
CCUCAGAUUCAACUCCUAAAUGCUAUAACACCUCCAACCCUGAUCUCAGCUCCACCGCCUGGUUCGCAGACUACAUCUCCGUCUUCUUGAGCUUCGUCACACUGGACGACCUCCUCCAGUUUGGCUCCAUUCAGGUGUGUCAACUCACAACUUGAAGAGAUCUCAGAUCUGUUUUCUGUCGUCUGAAUCCGAUCACUCUUAACGGAAUAGUCCAUCUUCACUCUAAUGUCGUUCCAAACUCAACGUGUUUGUUUUUCAGCCGUUCCUCGUGAACCUGGAGAACCUGCAGCUCUUCGGUCAGACCAGCGUUCCUGAUGAUGUCAUGGAGUACUACGUGACCCUGCUGUUCGAGGCGAAUCCGUCCUUCAGCGCCUACUAGUGAGAGACACCAACAACACUCUCAAUAACCAAUCUCACACUGAAAAUAAAGCUUCCCAAAGCAGGUUUUCACAGUGAUGCCAUUUAAAAGAACCAUUUGGGUUUCCCAAAGAACCUUUCAGUUAACAGUUCUUAAUAGAACCAUCGUUUCUUAGUACAAAGAAUAUUUUAAGAACAUUUUUUCCAUUUUAAAGAAUCUUUUGUGCGAUGAAAAAGAUUCCAUAAAUGUGAAAGGUUCUUCAUGGAAUGGAUAAUAUCAAUAAAGAAGCUUAAUUUUUAAUAGUGUACAUGAAAAGUCAUUUAAAUCCAGCUAAGCCACUCUCAUCAAAUGAAGGCUUGUUCAAAUCUCACAUAACACAUUUAUUAACAAUACUAUCAUUUGAAAAAUCCCCCCUGAGAAGGUUGGUCUGGUUUGAUGGUUUUGGCCACUUGUCUGUUGGACCAUCUUAACUAUAGAUCAGUUUAGACCAGCAAACCAACCAAGGCUGCUUAAUGUGUGCUUGUGUUCACAGUCUUCCUCUGAAGUUCCUCUGCUUGGCUCCUGCGAGCUCCUUCCUUCAGCUGAGUCUGGAGCAGCUGAAGAACAUCUCAUACAGCGUCCAUCAGAACUGCACAGAUGUUCUACCUGAUGUGUCGGCGGCUCUGGCCAGUAACGCAGGGGAUCUGACGGUGAGCGCCAUCGAGGCUCUGGGUCAGUCGUCCACGGGUUUGAGCACGGCUCAGAUCAGCGGCGCUGGAGGGAACUUGCUGCUCAACACGCUCUCCGUGCUCAGUCUCGUUCAGGGCUGGAACCUCGAUCAGGCCAUGAUGAUCAUCCAAACCCUGCUGUCGUCUGGAGCUUACCAGGUACACACCACCAAUACCUCUCAAAGCCUUACGUGUCUCUGACUGAUGUUUCAUUCCAUACACGAAUGGGUUCAAUCAAAGAUUCAUUGACUCACAUAUAAAGACUGUUACUUGUUUAAUUCCUGAAUGGAUCAGGGUUGUUGAAUAAACCGUGAUUCAGUGACUCA